GACGAACGCUGGCGGCGUGCUUAACACAUGCAAGUCGAACGGAAAGGCCCUGCUUUUGUGGGGUGCUCGAGUGGCGAACGGGUGAGUAACACGUGAGUAACCUUCCCUUGACUUUGGGAUAACUUCAGGAAACUGGGGCUAAUACCGGAUAGGAGCUCCUGCUGCAUGGUGGGGGUUGGAAAGUUUCGGCGGUUGGGGAUGGACUCGCGGCUUAUCAGCUUGUUGGUGGGGUAGUGGCUUACCAAGGCUUUGACGGGUAGCCGGCCUGAGAGGGUGACCGGCCACAUUGGGACGGGGAUACGGCCAGGACUCCUACGGGAGGAAGCAGUGGGGAAUAUUGCAAAAUGGGCGGAAGCCUGAUGCAGCAACGCCGCGUGCGGGAUGACGGCCUUCGGGUUGUAAACCGCUUUCGCCUGUGACGAAGCGUGAGUGACGGUAAUGGGUAAAGAAGCACCGGCUAACUACGUG
rnacentral:rRNA from 1 species